GGCGUGGUGGCGGAGUGGUUAUCGCGCAAGACUAGAAAUCUUCCCUAGGUUCGAAUCCUGCCUACGUCG